UCACAAUGACCAAGUUGGGUCAUCCACACAUGUAGGAAUUGAUGAGCUGCUGGUGAGGACCUCAGCUGGAAUUCUGCCAUGAUUGAGCUCUCUGUGAAGGCAGACCAUUCUCACAACAUGUUGGCUACAUUCUAAUGGUAGGCAUCCUAAGAAAGAGAGCCAGAUAGAAUCCAGGCCUCUUGUGACUUAAGCCUUAGAACUCAUACAACAGGUCCUGGAGUCAGUGGAAGAGCACUUGCCUACAAUGCACAAGGUCCUGGGUUCAAUUCGACACUACCAACCAACAACAGCAAAAACUAAAGGCUUCUCAGAUAGCUGCAGAAGUACAGAAAAUGCAGAGCAUGGCGAAGCUGAGCUGUAAUUCAGAAGCCAGGGAUUCUUGAGAUCUUAUCCUGAAUAGAACACUGGCAUGCAGUCACCCAGAAGUUUACAGCUAUGAAAGCCUUACAAAUCUCCACUGUCACACAGCCCAGCGUGGACUCGGAUCUGCAUUCAAAGGUCAAUCAGCCCAGAAUCCAAAAAUAACUGCAGAGUUAUGUGCAGGAUCUUCAGAAAUGUCAAAAAGGAAUUCAAUCAUAAUGGAAGACCAAAUUCUUAGGCUCCUCUUUCCAUAGCUCCUUAUCUUGCACUGUGCUGAGUUAUCCCCAAGAAUGUUUCUUCACACUGCCAGGAGCGUCCAAUCUUCAUUGCAACACAAUGGCAUCGUCUACAAA
rnacentral:lncRNA from 1 species